GACGAACGCUGGCGGCGUGCCUAAUACAUGCAAGUCGAGCGAACAGAAGGGAGCUUGCUCCCGGAUGUUAGCGGCGGACGGGUGAGUAACACGUGGGUAACCUGCCUGUAAGACUGGGAUAACUCCGGGAAACCGGAGCUAAUACCGGAUAGUUCCUUGAACCGCAUGGUUCAAGGAUGAAAGACGGUUUCGGCUGUCACUUACAGAUGGACCCGCGGCGCAUUAGCUAGUUGGUGGGGUAAUGGCUCACCAAGGCGACGAUGCGUAGCCGACCUGAGAGGGUGAUCGGCCACACUGGGACUGAGACACGGCCCAGACUCCUACGGGAGGCAGCAGUAGGGAAUCUUCCGCAAUGGACGAAAGUCUGACGGAGCAACGCCGCGUGAGUGAUGAAGGUUUUCGGAUCGUAAAGCUCUGUUGUUAGGGAAGAACAAGUGCGAGAGUAACUGCUCGCACCUUGACGGUACCUAACCAGAAAGCCACGGCUAACUACGUGCCAGCAGCCGCGGUAAUACGUAGGUGGCAAGCGUUGUCCGGAAUUAUUGGGCGUAAAGGGCUCGCAGGCGGUUUCUUAAGUCUGAUGUGAAAGCCCCCGGCUCAACCGGGGAGGGUCAUUGGAAACUGGAACUGAUGCAGAGAG
rnacentral:rRNA from 1 species